UCUAGCCUGCCCAAUGAGUAGUUGAAUGGCCGCAGUAUUUUGACUGUGCAAAGGUAGCAUAAUCAUUAGUUUCUUAAUUAGAAACUGGUAUGAAAGGUUGGACGAGAAAAUAACUGUCUCUUUAUAAAUUUUUUAGAAUUUUAUUUUUAAGUUAAAAAGCUUAAAUUUAUUUAAAAGACGAGAAGACCCUAUAGAGUUUUAUAUAAUUUUAAUUUAAUAAUAAAUAUAGAAUUAUUAAAAUUUUAUUUAGAGUUAUAUUUGAUUGGGGUGAUUAAAAAAUUUAAACAACUUUUUUUAUAUUUAAACAUUGAUUUAUGAAUUAUUGAGCCAUAAAAUAUUUAUGAUUAAAAGAUUAAAUUACCUUAGGGAUAACAGCGUAAUUUCUUUUUAGAGUUCAAAUCGAUAAAGAAGUUUGCGACCUCGAUGUUGGAUUAAAAUUUAAUUUAGGUGUAGAAGCUUAAAUAUUAGGUCUGUUCGACCUUUAAAAUUUUACAUGAUCUGAGUUUAAACCGGUGUAAGCCAGGUUGGUUUCUAUCUUUAAAUUAUUAAAAUAUUUUAGUACGAAAGGACCAAAUAUUAUUAUUAUAUAU
rnacentral:rRNA from 1 species